rnacentral:rRNA from 1 species
AACGAACGCUGGCGGCAGGCUUAACACAUGCAAGUCGAGCGCCACCUUCGGGUGGAGCGGCGGACGGGUGAGUAACGCGUGGGAACGUGCCCUUUACUACGGAAUAGCCAUUGGAAACGAUGAUUAAUACCGUAUGUGCCCUUCGGGGGAAAGAUUUAUCGGUAAAGGAUCGGCCCGCGUUAGAUUAGGUAGUUGGUGGGGUAAUGGCCUACCAAGCCGACGAUCUAUAGCUGGUUUGAGAGGAUGAUCAGCCACACUGGGACUGAGACACGGCCCAGACUCCUACGGGAGGCAGCAGUGGGAAUCUUAGACAAUGGGGGAAACCCUGAUCUAGCCAUGCCGCGUGUGUGAUGAAGGCCCUAGGGUCGUAAAGCACUUUCGCCUGUGAAGAUAAUGAC